UAAGCCAUAUGUUGUCAGACAUCUAGGAAUAUGAUACAGUUGAUGAGAUUUUAGAUAUUUUUGUUGGCAGGCUAGAAGAGAAAAGAUCAGUGAGAGGAUGAGAAUAUUACAGGAUCUUGUCCCUGGGUGUAAUAAGGUCAUUGGCAAGGCACUGGUACUUGACGAGAUCAUAAAUUAUAUCCAAUCAUUACAGCGUCAAGUUGAGUUUCUUUCAAUGAAAUUAGAAGCUGUCAAUACGAGAACCAGCCCUGGUAUUGAAGGAUUUCCGUCAAAAGAUCACAAAAUAUUUCCGUGGAUGCGUAGGAGAUGAACAAUCUUGCAAUUCCAGAACCAAGGGCUUUUCCAUGUAUUGCUUCAGUCUUGAAGUGAAAGGCCAUUGGAUGUUACCCAUGCUCAUGCUUUUGUUCAGGCCGGAUGUUCAUCUGCCCAGCUUUCAAGUAUAUUACCGCCUGGGGACCGCCUUAUCAGGAGAGAUGUGAAAAAUGAAGGGAGAUAAAUC